rnacentral:rRNA from 1 species
AGUCUCGUGUCGUGAGAUGUUGGGUUAAGUCCCGCAACGAGCGCAACCCUUGUCUUUAGUUGCCAUCAUUCAGUUGGGCACUCUAAAGAGACUGCCGGUGUCAAACCGGAGGAAGGUGGGGAUGACGUCAAGUCCUCAUGGCCUUUAUGACCAGGGCUACACACGUACUACAAUGGCCGGUACAAAGGGCAGCCACUUAGCGAUAAGGAGCCAAUCCCGUAAAGCCGGUCUCAGUCCGGAUUGGAGUCUGCAACUCGACUCCAUGAAGUUGGAAUCGCUAGUAAUCGCAGAUCAGCACGCUGCGGUGAAUACGUUCCCGGGCCUU